GAUCUUGGUUUAUUCGAGAUUGUUCCUUUUAAUCGUAAUCAAAGAUGUUUUCUUGUCUCUUGUUUUUUUUUUGAUGG